rnacentral:rRNA from 1 species
AGGGAUCAUUACCGAGUUUACAACUCCCAAACCCCUGUGAACAUACCUAUUUGUUGCCUCGGCGGUGCCUGUUCCGACAGCCCGCCAGAGGACCCCAAACCCUGAUUACAUUUAAGAAGUCUUCUGAGUAAACCGAUUAAAUAAAUCAAAACUUUCAACAACGGAUCUCUUGGUUCUGGCAUCGAUGAAGAACGCAGCGAAAUGCGAUAAGUAAUGUGAAUUGCAGAAUUCAGUGAAUCAUCGAAUCUUUGAACGCACAUUGCGCCCGCUAGUAUUCUGGCGGGCAUGCCUGUCCGAGCGUCAUUUCAACCCUCAAGCCCCCGGGCUUGGUGUUGGGGAUCGGCGAGCCUCCGCGCCCGCCGUCCCCUAAAUCUAGUGGCGGUCUCGCUGUAGCUUCCUCUGCGUAGUAGCACACCUCGCACUGGGAAACAGCGCGGCCACGCCGUUAAACCCCCAACUUCUGAACGUUUGACCUCGGAUCAGGUAGGAAUACCCGCUGAACUUAAGCAUAUCAAUAGGCCGGAGGACAGCUACAGCGAGACCGCCACUAGAUUUAGGGGACGGCGGGCGCGGAGGCUCGCCGAUCCCCAACACCAA